AAAUUGAAGAGUUUGAUCAUGGCUCAGAUUGAACGCUGGCGGCAGGCCUAACACAUGCAAGUCGAACGGUAGCACAGAGAGCUUGCUCUCGGGUGACGAGUGGCGGACGGGUGAGUAAUGUCUGGGAAACUGCCUGAUGGAGGGGGAUAACUACUGGAAACGGUGGCUAAUACCGCAUAACGUCGCAAGACCAAAGAGGGGGACCUUCGGGCCUCUUGCCAUCAGAUGUGCCCAGAUGGGAUUAGCUUGUUGGUGAGGUAACGGCUCACCAAGGCGACGAUCCCUAGCUGGUCUGAGAGGAUGACCAGCCACACUGGAACUGAGACACGGUCCAGACUCCUACGGGAGGCAGCAGUGGGGAAUAUUGCACAAUGGGCGCAAGCCUGAUGCAGCCAUGCCGCGUGUAUGAAGAAGG
rnacentral:rRNA from 1 species